rnacentral:rRNA from 1 species
GACGAACGCUGGCGGCGUGCUUAACACAUGCAAGUCGAACGGAAAGGCCCUGCUUUUGUGGUGUGCUCGAGUGGCGCACGUGUGUAUAACACGUGAGUACCCUGCCCUUGACUUUGGGAUCACUUCAGGACACUGGGGCUAAUACCGGAUAGGCGCUCCUGCUGCUUGGUGGGGGUUGGAAAGUUUCGGCGGUUGGGGAUUGACUCGCGGCGUAUCAGCUUGUUGGUGGGGUUGUGGCUUACCCAGGCUUUGACGGGUAGCCGGCCUGAGAGGGUGACCGGCAACAAUGGGACAGAGAUACGGGCGAGACAGCUACGGGGGGCAGUGGUGAGGGAGAGUGCACAAGGGGCGGAGGCGUGAUGCAGGAAAGCGGCGUGCGGGAGGAGGGACUUCGGGUUGUAAACCGCUUUCGCCUGGGACGAAGCGGGAGUGACGGUAAUGGGUAAAGAAGCACCGGCUAACUACGUG